UACAGAGGUCUCAAGCGUUUGUUCGGAUUCAUUGGGCGUAAAGGGUGUGUAGGUGGCGCCGUAAGUCGGGUGUGAAAUUUCGGAGCUUAACUCCGAAACUGCAUUCGAUACUGCGGUGCUUGAGGACUGGAGAGGAGACUGGAAUUCAUGGUGUAGCAGUGAAAUGCGUAGAGAUCAUGAGGAAGACCAGUGGCGAAGGCGGGUCUCUGGACAGUUCCUGACACUGAGACACGAAGGCCAGGGGAGCAAACAGGGAUUAGAACCGUACCCGUGUC
rnacentral:rRNA from 1 species